UACGUAGGGUCCGAGCGUUGUCCGGAAUUACUGGGCGUAAAGAGCUCGUAGGUGGUUUGUCGCGUUGUUCGUGAAAACUCACAGCUCAACUGUGGGCGUGCGGGCGAUACGGGCAGACUAGAGUACUGCAGGGGAGACUGGAAUUCCUGGUGUAGCGGUGGAAUGCGCAGAUAUCAGGAGGAACACCGGUGGGCGAAGGCGGG
rnacentral:rRNA from 1 species